rnacentral:rRNA from 1 species
AUAUCAAUAAGCGGAGGAAAAGAAACCAACCGGGAUUGCCUUAGUAACGGCGAGUGAAGCGGCACCAGCCCAAAUUUGAAAUCUAACCUCACUCGGGGUUCGAGUUGUAAUUUGGAGAGGAUGCUUCGGCGGCGGCCCCGGGGGCAGUGCCCUGGAACGGGACGCCAUAGAGGGUGAGAGCCCCGUACCACUCGGUGGACCGUCGCCGUACGAAGCGCCUUCGACGAGUCGAGUUGUUUGGGAAUGCAGCUCUAAGUGGGAGGUAAAUUUCUUCUAAGGCUAAAUACCGGCCAGAGACCGAUAGCGCACAAGUAGAGUGAUCGAAAGAUGAAAAGCACUUUGGAAAGAGAGUUAAACAGCACGUGAAAUUGUUGAAAGGGAAGCUCUUGCUGCCAGACGUGCCGCAACCGCUCAGCCGCCCCUCGGGGUGGUGUACUCGGUUGCGGCGGGCCAGCGUCGGUUCGGGCGGUCGGACAAAGACCUAGGGAACGUAGCCCCCUGCGGGGGGUGUUAUAGCCCCGGGUGCCAUGCGGCCAGCCCGGACCGAGGGCCGCGUUCGCGAGGACGCUGGCGUAAUGGUCGCAAGCGACCCGUCUUGAAACACGGACCAAGGAGUCUAACAUCUGUGCGAGUGUUCGGGUGUCAAACCCGUACGCGUAAUGAAAGUGAACGGAGGUGGGACCCCUUACGGGCGCACCAUCGACCGAUCCUGAUGUCUUCGGAUGGAUUUGAGUAAGAGCAUGGCUGUUGGGACCCGAAAGAUGGUGAACUAUGCGUGUUUAGGGUGAAGCCAGAGGAAACUCUGGUGGAGGCUCGCAGCGGUUCUGACGUGCAAAUCGAUCGUCAAAAAUGCGUAUAGGGGCGAAAGACCAAUCGAACCAU